GACGAAGGGGGCAAGCGUUGUUCGGAAUUACUGGGCGUAAAGGGCGCGUAGGCGGUUCUUUAAGUCAGGCGUGAAAGCCCUGGGCUCAACCUGGGAGUGGCGCUUGAUACUGGAGGACUAGAGAGUGGGAGAGGUUGGUGGAAUUCCCAGUGUAGAGGUGAAAUUCGUAGAUAUUGGGAAGAACACCGGUGGCGAAGGCGGCGCUCUGGACCGAGACUGACGCUGAGGCGCGAAGGCGUGGGGAGCGAACAGG
rnacentral:rRNA from 1 species